rnacentral:rRNA from 1 species
UACGAAGGGGGCUAGCGUUGUUCGGAAUUACUGGGCGUAAAGCGCGCGUAGGCGGUCAUGUAAGUCAGGGGUGAAAUCCCAGAGCUUAACUCUGGAAUGGCCUUUGAGACUGCAUGGCUAGAGAACGGGAGAGGUGAGUGGAAUUCCCAGUGUAGAGGUGAAAUUCGUAGAUAUUGGGAAGAACACCGGUGGCGAAGGCGGCUCACUGGCCCGUUUCUGACGCUGAGGCGCGAAAGCGUGGGGAG